rnacentral:tRNA from 1 species
CCCGCCGUAGCACAAUGGAUAGUGCAACCGCCUCCUAAGCGGUAGAUCCAGGUUCGACUCCUGGCGAUGGGACCA